rnacentral:rRNA from 1 species
CCUACGGGAGGCAGCAGUGAGGAAUAUUGGUCAAUGGGCGAGAGCCUGAACCAGCCAAGUCGCGUGAGGGAGUACUGCCCUAUGGGUUGUAAACCUCUUUUGUCGGGGAGCAAAAGCCGGACGUGUCCGGCUGUGAGAGUACCCGAAGAAAAAGCCUCGGCUAAACCCGUGCCAGCAGCCGCGGUGAUAAGGAGGAUGCGCGCGUUAUCCGUAUUUAUUGGGGUUAAAGGGUGCGCAGGCGGAGUUUUAAGUCAGCGGUCAACUCGUGGGGCUCAACCCCAUCCAGCCGUUGACACUGGGGAUCUAGAGUGUGCGAGAGGUAUGCGGAAUGCGUGGUGUAGCGGUGAAAUGCAUAGAUAUCACGCAGAACCCCGAUUGCGAAGGCAGCAUACCGGUGCACAACUGACGCUCAGGCACGAAAGCGUGGGUAUCGAACAGGAUUAGAUACCCCUGUAGUC